rnacentral:rRNA from 1 species
AUGCCAAGGCGUGGGUCGACAUCGAGUGAUCCAAAUACAAAGGCGAAACAGAGUGGCAUGGCAGAGGCGGCGGCUGUCUCCGCAGGUAUGCAGGUUUUGAAGAGCGGCAGCGCAAUCAUCUUUGGCAACCUCAACACCAAGCUCAAAAAAGGUAAGGACCUCCGGAAGGCACUGGCGAGAAACAAGGAGUGGAUCAGGACCGAGAUGGAAUUGUUAUCGUUACAAGUCGGAGCUGGACACGGGCUGAGCGAGGAGGAGAAUGACCGCAGUGAGGCGUGGCACGUAUGGGCUCAGAAGAUUCGCGAGCUCAAGUACGAAAUAGAGGACUGCAUAGUUUCCUAUGAAGGCAGGGUCACUUGCAAGAGCGAUGCACCGUGGUAUCGUCGCAAGCUUCACCCGGCAAUGACUCUGUCCACCCGCACUAGAUAUGCCAAGAAGAUCGCCGAAUUCAGGGAGCGUGUCAGCGGAUUGGUUCUACAGAGAGACGCGCAUGUCCAAAGCACCGCCGCUGUCAACGCUGCACUGGCAACAUGCCAAGCGACCAUCUACACGAAACCCAAGAAUAUCGUGGGCAUCAGCAGGUCUAAGAAUGCUCUACUUGAGCUGUUAGACCUGCAAGCGGUCGCUGAGGGCCAACCCGAGAUCGUCGAGGUGGUCCAAGUUCAGUCCGAGAUUGUACAAGUGGCCGAGGGCCAACCGGAGGUGGUCGAGCGCGAAGCUGAUGAUCAGAAACUCAAGGUCGUGUCCGUCGUUGGGUUCGCGGGCCUGGGAAAGACCACCCUUGUGGAGUCCGUGUUCCAAAGUUAUGAUAUCACCCAGAGGUUCCCUCGUCGGGCGUGGGUGGUGGCGUCGAGUCAUGAGAAAACAAGGGAUCUUCUCGUGGACAUAAUUAAUCAGUUGAAUCUGGCAGAAACAAUCAAGCCAAACUCUAUUCAGCCUCAGGACAUACUGGCAGAAAAACUCUACACAUGUCUGCAGAAUGGACCAAGGUACUUCGUCGUAAUUGAUGACCUGGCAACGGAAGUACACGAAUGGGAUGCCAUAAAAUCGGCCUUCCCUACGGAGGGAGCUGAUGGAAGAAUUAUUGUUACCACACGUAUUCAAUCGAUGGCUACAAGGUGCAGUUCAAAUGGAGGCUGUGUUCAUCAAAUGCAAGCUCUUGACAUGACUGACUCUAAAACCUUGUUUCUCAAGGAAGUUUUCGGCGAUACAUGUACAUCUUGUACACCUGAUUUUGAGACAGGUUUAAAACGCAUCUUGAAGAAAUGUGAGGGUUGGCCAGUUGCUUUGCUUGACAUUGCUCAUCUAGUAAAGAGAUCCCAUGGAACACCGACUGGUGCCGACUGUCGGAAUAUCUGUGCUGAACUAGGUUCUCAUCUGGAUUGUCAUCAGACCAGAGACUUGGCAAGAACAAGGCAAGUGAUUGUCGAUUGCUUCUGUUUCAACAUCAGCAAGAAAGAUGAUGAGCGUCUCAGGACCUGCUUGUUGUAUGCAAGCAUAUACCAGAAGUUCGAUCGAACCAAAUGGAAAAGCCUACUCAGGCGAUUGUCAGCAGAAGGUAAUAGUAUCACUCCCACCCAAUUUGAAGAGUUGUUGGCAAAAGGUGAGAACAGUGUCGCUCGCGACCAAAUUGAGGAGUUGUUCAACCGAUGUAUCAUUCAUCGGCGGGACAUUAGGCAAAACUCUAGGGUGAAGUCAUAUCAGAUUGGUCCUGUACUGCUUGAAUUCAUGAUCUGCAAGCAAGCCUGCAGAAACUUCAUCACUCUGAUAGAAAAUGGCCAACGCCAACCUUAUUGUGGGAAGAAAGACAGUGCCGUUCGUCAACUCUACCUGAGUGGCAAAACUGCAAGGGCUGUCGAAGAGGACCGUCUGUCCAGUAUCAGGUCACUUACAAUCUCUGACCAUGAUGGCGAGGAACUGGUGGAUUUUGAAAAGUGUAAGAUGCUACGAGUCUUGGAUGUAGAAAACUGUAAGAAGGUUGAGGACACAGACCUCCAGAAGAUUUGCAAGUUGUUGUACCUCAAUUAUCUCAACCUGAGAGGCACCAAUGUGAAGACCCUUCCAAGUAAAGCUGCAAAGCUACAUUACUUGCAGAUACUGGACAUGAGAGAGACAAGUGCAAACAUAGAAUUGCCUAUGGAAGUCCUAAUCCUGGGACAGCUAGUCCACCUGUUUGGCCGAUUUAAGCUACCUCCUGAGCUAAGCAAAGUUGGUACGGGGCAUACUCUGGUGAAACUUUUAGAAAGAGAGAGUAAACUGAAGACAUUUGCAGGGUUUGUCCUUGACGGUUGCAAUGGCUUUCAACACAUCAUGUCUGCCAUAACCACACUGAGGAAGGUUAAAUUCUGGUCCCGGAGUACUCAAGGAAAUAAAUUAGUCCAGUGCUUAGUCCCUUCCCUUCAGAAGCGCUUCACUGAAGAUUCUGCCCUAGACUCACUGUCAAUUGAUUUCGGCAAUGACUCCAUAGAUUUCCUUGACUCCCUACAAGGUCCUUGUGCUCUCGAAUCAAUCAAACUGCAUGGUAAACUAACAAGAUUGCCGGACUUCUUUCUCAAAGGUGGAUUUCUAGUUCGAGAGCUGCAACUUUCAAAAACUGGUUUGAGCUGCGAAGAUUUGUCAGACCUGCAACAGCUGGAUCUGUUGCUCUAUCUGAAGCUAGAUGAGGAUUCUCUCGUCUUUGUCAAUGGCACAUUUACCUUCCAGUCGGAUGGAUUCAAAAGCCUUAAGGGGCUGUGCUUUGAGACACCAAAGCUUCCAAAAAUUGAGGUCAUGGAAGGAGCCAUGCCUGUUCUUGAGUCUCUUCAGCUGUUUUCUCAGAAUAUACAAGGCCUGGAUGUGUCAGCAAUCAAAUCUCUCCAUCAUCUCAAGGAGGUGACUCUUCGCUCUUCAGUUGAUGCGCAAACAAUGCGAUUUUGGGAAGAUGAAGCAAAGAAGCACAAAAAUAGGCCAACAAUUGUUGUUGCUCAAAGUCAGAAUACAUAG